CCUACGGGCGGCUGCAGUGGGGAAUAUUGGACAAUGGGCGAAAGCCUGAUCCAGCCAUGCCGCGUGUGUGAAGAAGGCCUUCGGGUUGUAAAGCACUUUCAGUGGGGAAGAAAGCCUUGGGGCUAAUACCCUCGAGGAAGGACAUCACCCACAGAAGAAGCACCGGCUAACUCCGUGCCAGCAGCCGCGGUAAUACGGAGGGUGCGAGCGUUAAUCGGAAUUACUGGGCGUAAAGCGCGCGUAGGCGGUCUGAUAAGCCGGUUGUGAAAGCCCCGGGCUCAACCUGGGAACGGCAUCCGGAACUGUCAGGCUAGAGUGCAGGAGAGGAAGGUAGAAUUCCCGGUGUAGCGGUGAAAUGCGUAGAGAUCGGGAGGAAUACCAGUGGCGAAGGCGGCCUUCUGGACUGACACUGACGCUGAGGUGCGAAAGCGUGGGUAGCAAACAGGAUUAGAUACCCGAGUAGUC
rnacentral:rRNA from 1 species